AACGAACGCUGGCGGCAUGCCUAACACAUGCAAGUCGAACGAGACCUUCGGGUCUAGUGGCGCACGGGUGCGUAACGCGGGGGAACCUGCCCUUAGGUUCGGAAUAACUCCCCGAAAGGGGUGCUAAUACCGGAUAAUGUCUUCGGACCAAAGAUUUAUCGCCCUUGGAUGGGCCCGCGUUGGAUUAGCUAGUUGGUAGGGUAAAAGCCUACCAAGGCGACGAUCCAUAGCUGGUCUGAGAGGAUGAUCAGCCACACUGGGACUGAGACACGGCCCAGACUCCUACGCGAGGGAGGAGUGGGGAAUAUUGGACAAUGGGGGAAGGCCUGAUCCAGCAAUGCCGCGUGAGUGAUGAAGGCCGUAGGGUUGUAAAGCUCUUUUACCCGGGAUGAUAAUGACAGUACCGGGAGAAUAAGCACCGGCUAACUCCGUG
rnacentral:rRNA from 1 species